UACUAACUCUGGCGGCGUGCUUAACACAUGCAAGUCGAACGCUGAACCCGCUUCGGUGGGGGAUGAGUGGCGAACGGGUGAGUAACACGUGGGCAACCUGCCCCCGGCUCUGGGAUAACUCCAAGAAAUUGGGGCUAAUACCGGAUGUGACCGCUGGCCGCAUGGUCUGGUGGUGGAAAGGGUUUCCGGCUGGGGAUGGGCCCGCGGCCUAUCAGCUUGUUGGUGGGGUAGUGGCCUACCAAGGCGACGACGGGUAGCCGGCCUGAGAGGGUGACCGGCCACACUGGGACUGAGACACGGCCCAGACUCCUACGGGAGGCAGCAGUGGGGAAUAUUGCGCAAUGGGCGGAAGCCUGACGCAGCGACGCCGCGUGGGGGAUGACGGCCUUCGGGUUGUAAACCUCUUUCAGCAGGGACGAAGCGCAAGUGACGGUACCUGCAGAAGAAGCACCGGCCAACUACGUG
rnacentral:rRNA from 1 species